AUCCUUUUGCUUAUUCUCUAAAAUGCUUAUUUAUUUAUUUUUAUUUUUUAUUAAGGCUUAAUUUUUUUCGGAGUUUUUAUUUAGUUCAAUUUGUGGCUGAUAGAACAUACUGGGUUUACUUCCAGAUGUUUAAUGUUUUU